CGGCGGGCGGGUGAGUAACACGUGGAUAACCUACCUAUAAGACUGGGAUAACUUCGGGAAACCGGAGCUAAUACCGGAUAAUAUUUUGAACCGCAUGGUUCAAAAGUGAAAGACGGUCUUGCUGUCACUUAUAGAUGGAUCCGCGCUGCAUUAGCUAGUUGGUAAGGUAACGGCUUACCAAGGCAACGAUGCAUAGCCGACCUGAGAGGGUGAUCGGCCACACUGGAACUGAGACACGGUCCAG
rnacentral:rRNA from 1 species